UGGGGAAUAUUGGACAAUGGGCGCAAGCCUGAUCCAGCCAUGCCGCGUGAGUGAUGAAGGCCCUAGGGUUGUAAAGCUCUUUCACCGGUGAAGAUAAUGACGGUAACCGGAGAAGAAGCCCCGGCUAACUUCGUGCCAGCAGCCGCGGUAAUACGAAGGGGGCUAGCGUUGUUCGGAUUUACUGGGCGUAAAGCGCACGUAGGCGGACUAUUAAGUCAGGGGUGAAAUCCCGGGGCUCAACCCCGGAACUGCCUUUGAUACUGGUAGUCUUGAGUUCGAGAGAGGUGAGUGGAAUUCCGAGUGUAGAGGUGAAAUUCGUAGAUAUUUGGAAGAACACCGGUGGCGAAGGCGGCCUUCUGGGCCACGACUGACGCUGAGGCGCGAAAGCUAGGGGAGCGAACAGG
rnacentral:rRNA from 1 species